UACGUUGGUGGCAAGCGUUGUCCGGAAUUAUUGGGCGUAAAGAGCUCGUAGGCGGUUUGUCGCGUCUGUCGUGAAAGCCCACGGCUUAACCGUGGGUCUGCGGUGGAUACGGGCAGACUAGAGGCAGGUAGGGGAGAAUGGAAUUCCCGGUGUAGCGGUGAAAAUGCGCAGAUAUCUGGAGGAACACCGGUGGCGAAGGCGGCAUCCUGGACCGGUAUUGACGCUGAGGCGCGAAAGCUAGGGGAGCAAACGGG
rnacentral:rRNA from 1 species